AGAUUGAACGCUGGCGGCAGGCUUAACACAUGCAAGUCGAGCGGUAACAUUUCUAGCUUGCUAGAAGAUGACGAGCGGCGGACGGGUGAGUAAUACUUAGGAAUCUACCUAGUAGUGGGGGAUAGCAUGGGGAAACCCAUAUUAAUACCGCAUACGACCUACGGGAGAAAGGGGGCAGUUUACUGCUCUCGCUAUUAGAUGAGCCUAAGUCGGAUUAGCUAGAUGGUGGGGUAAAGGCCUACCAUGGCGACGAUCUGUAGCUGGUCUGAGAGGAUGAUCAGCCACACCGGAACUGAGACACGGUCCGGACUCCUACGGGAGGCAGCAGUGGGGAAUAUUGGACAAUGGGGGCAACCCUGAUCCAGCCAUGCCGCGUGUGUGAAGAAGGCCUUUUGGUUGUAAAGCACUUUAAGCAGUGAAGAAGACUCUAUGGUUAAUACCCAUAGACGAUGACAUUAGCUGCAGAAUAAGCACCGGCUAACUCUGUGCCAGCAGCCGCGGUAAUACAGAGGGUGCAAGCGUUAAUCGGAAUUACUGGGCGUAAAGGGAGCGUAGGUGGCUCGAUAAGUCAGAUGUGAAAUCCCCGGGCUCAACCUGGGAACUGCAUCUGAAACUGUAGAGCUAGAGUAUGUGAGAGGAAGGUAGAAUUCCAGGUGUAGCGGUGAAAUGCGUAGAGAUCUGGAGGAAUACCGAUGGCGAAGGCAGCCUUCUGGCAUAAUACUGACACUGAGGCUCGAAAGCGUGGGUAGCAAACAGGAUUAGAUACCCUGGUAGUCCACGCCGUAAACGAUGUCUACUAGUCGUUGGGUCCCUUGAGGACUUAGUGACGCAGCUAACGCAAUAAGUAGACCGCCUGGGGGAGUACGGCCGCAAGGUUAAAACUCAAAUGAAUUGACGGGGGCCCGCACAAGCGGUGGAGCAUGUGGUUUAAUUCGAUGCAACGCGAAGAACCUUACCUGGUCUUGACAUAUCUAGAAUCUUGUAGAGAUACGAGAGUGCCUUCGGGAAUUAGAAUACAGGUGCUGCAUGGCUGUCGUCAGCUCGUGUCGUGAGAUGUUGGGUUAAGUCCCGCAACGAGCGCAACCCUUGUCCUUAGUUACCAGCGGGUUAAGCCGGGAACUCUAAGGAUACUGCCAGUGACAAACUGGAGGAAGGCGGGGACGACGUCAAGUCAUCAUGGCCCUUACGACCAGGGCUACACACGUGCUACAAUGGUAGGUACAGAGGGCAGCUACACAGCGAUGUGAUGCGAAUCUCAAAAAGCCUAUCGUAGUCCAGAUUGGAGUCUGCAACUCGACUCCAUGAAGUAGGAAUCGCUAGUAAUCGCGGAUCAGAAUGCCGCGGUGAAUACGUUCCCGGGCCUUGCACACACCGCCCGUC
rnacentral:rRNA from 1 species